UCCAAGGCUGGAAGGUUAGUCUUAUUUUGAAAGAGAUCAAAAGAACUUGCUAUGAAUCAUAGAUGGAAAGGAUUAAGUUUUAAGAUGCCAUAAUUUUGCCAAAAUCUUGUGAGCCUGCAUUUCGAGAUGGGGAUUGUUUAGGAGCUCGGGAAUGAUAUGAUGUUUUUUUACUUUCAAAAUUUGAAGCCUUAAGUGAGUUAAUUUCGAGGACGAAAUUAUUUUAAGGGGGGAAGAAUGUGAGACCCAAGCCUUUUGGCCUCACGUGUGUCGCACGUGAGGGCACACGAUGAAAGGGAUUCAACACGAUCGCCCGAGGAAGAUGGAAACCCCUAUUUUUUUAGGGCUUCUUCUCCUCAUUUGAAAGCCACCUGAGGUAGAGCCGGCACGCCGAGUCCCCUUCCGGUUGGGUGAUCUUCUUCCUCGCUUGCAGCUGAAAAAAAAAAAAAAAAACUCCACUGCCUGCCGGAGAGGAGAGGAAGAGCCGUCGAAGAGGGUCAUCACAGUUCACCCCCGAAACCAGGUUCUGCGAGGGAUUUGCGGAAUUAAUUGGAUUUGUUGUGGAUCGCGUUCGCAAGAUUUCGAGAACUAGUCUAUUGGGAAUUCAAAAUUGGGAGAGCGACUAGAAGGAUUGUGGCACAAGUUAUCUUAGAUUAGGGUUAUUUAAGUUGAUUUGUUAUUAUGGACAUUUAUUAUGAUUGGUGGACUUUUAUUAUUUUACGAACUAGGUUUCUGC